GAUGAACGCUGGCGGCGUGCCUAAUACAUGCAAGUCGAGCGAACAGACGAGGAGCUUGCUCCUCUGACGUUAGCGGCGGACGGGUGAGUAACACGUGGAUAACCUACCUAUAAGACUGGGAUAACUUCGGGAAACCGGAGCUAAUACCGGAUAAUAUAUUGAACCGCAUGGUUCAAUAGUUAAAGACGGUUUUGCUGUCACUUAUAGAUGGAUCCGCGCCGCAUUAGCUAGUUGGUAAGGUAACGGCUUACCAAGGCAACGAUGCGUAGCCGACCUGAGAGGAUGAUCGGCCACACUGGAACUGAGACACGGUCCAGACUCCUACGGGAGGCAGCAGUAGGGAAUCUUCCGCAAUGGGCGAAAGCCUGACGGAGCAACGCCGCGUGAGUGAUGAAGGUCUUCGGAUCGUAAAACUCUGUUAUUAGGGAAGAACAAAUGUGUAAGUAACUAUGCACGUCUUGACGGUACCUAAUCAGAAAGCAACGGCUAACUACGUG
rnacentral:rRNA from 1 species